rnacentral:rRNA from 1 species
GAUGAACGCUGGCGGCGUGCCUAAUACAUGCAAGUCGAGCGAACAGACGCGGCGCUUUCUCCUCUGACGUUAGCGGCGGACGGGUGAGUAACACGUGGAUACCCUACCUAUAAGACUGGGUUAAAUUCGGAAAACAGGAGCUAAUACCGGACAAUAUAUUGAACCGCAUUGUUCAAUAGUGAAAGACGGUUUUGCUGUCACUUAUAGAUGGAUCCGCGCCGCAUUAGCUAGUUGGUAAGGUAACGGCUUACCAAGGCAACGAUGCGUAGCCGACCUGAGAGGGUGAUCGGCCACACUGGAACUGAGACACGGUCCAGACUCCUACGGGAGGCAGCAGUAGGGAAUCUUCCGCAAUGGGCGAAAGCUUGACGGAGCAACGCCGCGUGAGUGAUGAAGGUCUUCGGAUCGUAAAACUCUGUUAUUAGGGAAGAACAAAUGUGUAAGUAACUAUGCACGUCUUGACGGUACCUAAUCAGAAAGCCACGGCUAACUACGUG